UACGUAGGGUGCAAGCGUUAAUCGGAAUUACUGGGCGUAAAGCGUGCGCAGGCGGUUAUGCAAGACAGAGGUGAAAUCCCCGGGCUCAACCUGGGAACUGCCUUUGUGACUGCAUGGCUAGAGUACGGUAGAGGGGGAUGGAAUUCCGCGUGUAGCAGUGAAAUGCGUAGAUAUGCGGAGGAACACCGAUGGCGAAGGCAAUCCCCUGGACCUGUACUGACGCUCAUGCACGAAAGCGUGGGGAGCAAACAGGAUUAGAUACCCUGGUAGUCCACGCCCUAAACGAUGUCAACUGGUUGUUGGGAGGGUUUCUUCUCAGUAACGUAGCUAACGCGUGAAGUUGACCGCCUGGGGAGUACGGCCGCAAGGUUGAAACUC
rnacentral:rRNA from 1 species